AUUGAACGCUGGCGGUAUGCUUAACACAUGCAAGUCGAACGGUAACAGCAGAGCUUGCUCUGGCUGACGAGUGGCGGACGGGUGAGUAAUAUAUAGGAAUCUGCCUAGUAGUGGGGGACAACGUAUGGAAACGUACGCUAAUACCGCAUACGCCCUUCGGGGGAAAACGGGGGACCUUCGGGCCUCGUGCUAUUAGAUGAGCCUAUAUCCAAUUAGCUAGUUGGCGGGGUAAGAGCCCACCAAGGCGACGAUUGGUAGCUGGUUUGAGAGGAUGAUCAGCCACACUGGGACUGAGACACGGCCCAG
rnacentral:rRNA from 1 species